rnacentral:snRNA from 1 species
GUGCUUGCUUUGACAGCAUGUAGACUAAAAAAUUAGAACGAUAUAGAGAAGAUUAGCAUGGCCUCUGUACAAGGAAGACAUGUGAAUUUGUUCAUCAUGAAGACCAAUG